UUGAAAUAGAAAUGGAAAUCGAUGUUUUUUAUUAAAAAGAAAUUAAAUUACAUAAUCGUUAAACAUUCGAAGUUUUAAUAAGAAAAAAAAAAUUGUUUAUCAACACUCGUCUGAAAGCGAGUCUUCUGAAUCAGAAUCAGAAUUAUCUGAUCCGAAUGCAGACGGUAUUGUUGACUUUGAAGUAGAAGCCAUCUGCGUCAUGUCUAGUCCAGAAGUCAUCAAAGUCUUGUUCAAUUUCUCCAUAUAGGAUUUCAUAGCAUUGAACUUUUUCUUGUAUUUCGAGACGUCUUUUUGACUCUCGUUACACUUGUUCUGAAAAUGAAAACAACAAUGAGUUCGGUAAUCAACAAAAUUAUUAAAAUAUAUUGUAAAUACCUCCAAUGCUUUGAAUUUUUCCGACCAUACUGCAUCUGGUGGUGCUUCAACAGUCGUGCUCUUUGAGAUCGGCUCUUUUCCUUUCCAAUUUGGAGCAGCCCAUCUUUCGUUUGUUGUGCUCACCAUACUUGCAGCUUCUCCGAUUCCAAUUAUUCGAUUCUUCUUAUUUUUGCCGAAAGUCUUGUUGACCGUCGCUUCGAUAAAUUGCUGCGUUAUAAAAAAAAAAUAAGAAAAACAAAAUAUAAUUAAAAUAAUAAAUGGAACUUACAAUUGGAGUCAUUGAUUCAGAUUCAGCCCACGAUUUUGCCUCUGGAGUUUUGAUAAAAUCCGUGGCUUCAAGCUGAAAGAAUAAC
rnacentral:lncRNA from 1 species